AUUGAACGCUGGCGGCAGGCCUAACACAUGCAAGUCGAGCGAGAGGCGGACGGGUGAGUAAUGUAUGGGGAUCUGCACGAUAGAGGGGGAUAACUACUGGAAACGGUGGCUAAUACCGCAUACUAUCGGCUGAAGCCAUAUGGGAUUAGGUAGUAGGUGGGGUAAAGGCUCACCUAGUCGACGAUCUCUAGCUGGUCUGAGAGGAUGAUCCGCCAAACUGGGACUGAGACACGGCCCAGAUUCCGACGGGAGGCAGCAGGGGGGAAUAUUGCACAAUGGGCGCAAGCCUGAUGCAGCCAUGCCGCGGGUAUGAAGAAGGCCUUAGGGUUGUAAAUUACUUUCAGCGGGGAGGCGUUACCCGCAGAAGAAGCACCGGCUAACUCCGUGCCAGCCGCCGCGGUAAUUC
rnacentral:rRNA from 1 species